UAAUCAGAACUAUUUCUUUAAAUUUGCAGCCAUGAUGGAAAGUUCAUAGUUGCUGGAAGUGAGAAUCAAUGUAUAUACAUUUGGAAAACUCAUCACGAUUACUCAAAAUUCUCAUCAGCCAGAAGAGACAGAAACUACUAUUGGGAAGGAGUUAAAGCACACAGUGCUGUUGUGACAUGCGCUGUGUUUGCUCCACAUCCAGAGCUCGUGUUUAGUUUUAUUGAACAACAACAAGAACUUCUCAAUAAGACUACCGAGCAGCAGGAACAACAAAAUGAACCAAAUCCUUCAAGUCAAAAUAAGGAUAGUGGCACAACAAAUAAAGGGUACGUGCUAGUUUCGGCUGACUUCAGCGGAUGCAUCAAAGUGUUUUUAAAGAAAGAAAAGCCCAAACAUUCUUCAUUACCUGCCUCUGCCUUAGUGUAAUGAUUUUAGUAACGUUUUAUACUAAUUGCAUUCCAAAAAUUAUUUUUCAUGAAAUAAAGUCUUUUUAUCUAAGCAUUUACCAAGAAAGACCUAGACAUUAUGGUGAGAUUUGUGUGCAUAAUGUUAAAUUAUUUAAGGGUGAAGAAUUCAAUGACAUUGCAUGAAAGUGUGACAUAAUAUAAUGCAGUAAGUGAUAUCUGAUGUAAUGAUAUAUUUUAGUCAAAAAUGGCCAGCUCUUCACACUGAAUUCUGUUGUAAUACUUAAGCUGUCUUUAGCAUAUCAUUUUAUUGUCAUAAACCUUGUUAUUUUU